UCAAUAUUGCACCAACGUUUUAUCGCAGCUCUCUGAGAUAAUUCGAGGAGUUCUUCUAGGCAAGAACGGCUUCAGUUGGACCGGCUGAAGAACCAGCUAUCUGACGCCAUUCAGCGAUACGGCACAAUUCAAAAGAAAAUUGCUGAGAAGUCGAAAUCUCUGCUUCCUACCGGACAAAAACCUAGAAAGACAGUAAGUAUGGUGUUUCACCUUUAUUCAGCUUAGCGGUAGUAUAAACUAUGAACGACUUGGAUGAUG